rnacentral:rRNA from 1 species
UACGUAGGGGCCUAGCGUUGUCCGGAUUUAUUGGGCGUAAAGAGCUCGUAGGCGGUUCGGUAAGUCAGGUGUGAAAUCUCCACGCUCAACGUGGAGGCGCCACCUGAAACUGCCGUGACUAGAGUCCGGUAGGGGAGUGUGGAAUUCCCGGUGUAGCGGUGAAAUGCGCAGAUAUCGGGAGGAACACCUGUGGCGAAGGCGGCCCCCUGGUUGGAUACUGACGCUGAUACGCGAAAGCGUGGGGAGCAAACAGG